AACGAGUGUUGAACGAAAGUUGUUCGGUGGUUCGCGACGGUUCACUGUGAUAAUCGGGAGCACGAUCGAAUUUCUCUGAAGUGAAAAAAAAGAAGAAAGACGUGUGAUCUGAAAAAUGUUCAAUGUGUUCAAAAAGAAGAAGAAGAAGAAGAAGAGAGAGAAAAUUAAGUGAAUCGAAGUGAGAAGAGAUCUACAGUGCGUCGAAGAAGUGGAGGAACACGGGGGAAUGGAGGUUAGGGGUGUCGACAGGGGAGAAAAAUACGAAUCCUUCGAAACGGUACGAUGCAUGCACGUACUCAUAUAUGGUAGAGAUCCAGCAGCGAGGUAUAGAGUUCCUACGUAGUGUUCAGAAAGUAGGAACUUCAUACCGUGCUCUUGGACUUGCCGAAAGAUCGUCGAAUUUUGUGUGUGUAUAUAUAUAAAAUAUAUAUAUAUAUAUACAUAUAUAUAUAUAUUUACAUAUAUAGAUAUAUAUUAUACGUAUAAAUGUAACUGUACGUGGUGCGGGAAGUGAUCGAGACGAGGCGAUGCUUGAUGUUGGGGAUCGAUGAUGGAAAAGUACCAGCGGACGCAGUCAGAGAAGGCACCGAUAAGCACCGGGGAUUUAUCAGCGAUCGCUCGGCCAGACGACCAACUCCAGGAUGCUGAUUUUGUCGAAUGCCCAGCUCGAUUACAGAAGCUUGGCUCGAUCGAAAAUUACACGAGGAGAGAUCGGGCCGCUUUAUUAAACGGGGAUCGAUCUUAACGACGGUUCCUCCUCUGUAAAAUUGGGACGAGGAGUUAUACUCGCAUAAGCGCGUAAGCGGCAUCGGCAUAAAGGGGCGGGCUUUAUCGAUUUAAUUGUCGGUGGGUUUAAUUGUAGGGGAUGAAGGGGCGAGCUUGAGAAGGGCCGACCAAGCCACGUUGAAGCGCGCCACUUCCGUGAGAGAAGGUAAUUACGAGGAGUGACCUACCUCAACGAGAUUCCCCUUGCCAAUGAAGAAAUCUUCCCUCCAGCUUGAUCCAGUUUUCGUACGCCUGCUUUUAAAGAGGCUCGUGUCUCUCUUUAUCGGGAAAAAUUGCGUGCGGGGGAAAAGUUCUCUGUUCUUUCUUUCUUUCUUUGGUUUCAUUCGAAUAUCGAGGCAUUUAACGAUAAUUGUUUCGUUAUCGAUGCUGAAUAUUUACGAAGCAAAUGUUUAUACAGUUGUAAUCAUAAUCGUAAAGAUAAUUUG